AUUGAACGCUGGCGGCAGGCUUAACACAUGCAAGUCGAGCGAGCGGCGGACGGGUGAGUAAUGUCUGGGAAACUGCCUGAUGGAGGGGGAUAACUACUGGAAACGGUAGCUAAUACCGCAUACCAUCAGAUGAACCCAUAUGGGAUUAGCUUGUAGGUGAGGUAACGGCUCACCUAGGCGACGAUCCCUAGCUGGGCUGAGAGGGUGAUAGGGAACACUGGGACUGAGACACGGCCCAGACUCCUACGGGAGGCAGCAGUGGGGAAUAUGGGACAAUGGGCGAAAGCCGGAUAGAGCAAUGCCGCGUGUAGGAAGAAGGCCUUCGGGUUGUAAAGUUCUUUCGGUAGCGAGGCGUUAACUACAGAAGAAGCAACGGCUAACUACGUGCCAGCAGCCGCGGUAAUUC
rnacentral:rRNA from 1 species